CAUUCAUCAACUCAUUGAAGUUGGUUGGUCAGCCAGAGAGACAAAGGGCAGGGAGAUCUGGAGCCUUCAAUAAAUCCUGCAGUGAGGUACUCAAUUAACUUCCCAGCUGCUGGGUGUCUCGUCCAUCACCACAUUGAAGAUGGUUGGUCAGCCAGAGAGACAAAGGGCAGGGAGAUCUAGAGCCUUCAAUAAAUCCUGCAGUGAGAUGGCAAUGACUCAGUGCUACCUGAGAAAAUGUCAAUGUACUCAUACCUGCUGCUGAGUAUCCGCGGUGGAGGGAGGGAGUCGUUGUGGAUGGGGACCAUUUAUUUCGGCUGCUCAGUCUUUAAUCGUGUCAAACUGAGUGCUUCUGGAGUUGCACUCAUCAAACAAGUGGAGAUUAUUUGAUCAUAUUCCUGAUUUGAACCUUGGAGAUUUUGGACAGGCUUUGGCAAGCCAGGAGAAAAGUUACUUGCUGCAGGAUUCCUAACUUCUGAUUUGAUGUUCUCACCAUAGCAUUGAAAUGGUCUUGGAUUAACCUGAGAAUGUUAGUGCCAAUGGAUUCAUCAUUGGUACUGCCUUUGAAUGUUGAAUGGCGCUGAUGAGAUGAUUACGAUGGUCAUUGUUUGACAUUUAUGUGGCACAGAUGUUACUUGUCACUUGUCACUUGUCAGCCCCGAAGCCUGGCUGCUGUCCAAGUCUCGCUGCAUUUUGACUGAUUUUUGUGAUCUUAGGAGUACGGAAUUGUAAA